UCAUGACGACCGAGCAGCCAUCGAUAUGCGAGUCCCAUAAUCGUCGACCGAAGCCCUUCUCCUAAAGAAGAAAAAUAGAAGAAGACCUUAAUUUUCGAAUGGAAAAUGUGAGACGGACGAACUUACACCUCCGUGCAGAUGAUGUUUGUCGAGAUCAUUCCUCGUGAGCUGUGUCUCAACCUUAGAUCCAGUUGUUAGACCUAACUAACUAGUGAGGAUACAUCAUAUAUAUAAACGUGAAUCGUAUAUUAGUGUAAAAACGACGUUAGUCUCGCAUUAUAUUAUUCAUUAUCCCGACAUACGUUCGUAUGUUCACAAAUUUGAUAAAUUUAUCCUGUAUCAAAGUGUAACAGAUUUGGCAAAGAUAAUAACAAGGGAAUACGAGAGAAAAGAGAUUCAAUAAUAUUGAUCAUUGAUGC